ACGGGAGGCAGCAGUCGGGAAUAUUGCGCAAUGGAGGAAACUCUGACGCAGUGACGCCGCGUAUAGGAAGAAGGUUUUAGGAUUGUAAACUAUUUUAGUCAGGGAAGAAAAAGACGGUACCUGAAGAAUAAGCUCCGGCUAACUACGUGCCAGCAGCCGCGGUAAUACGUAGGGAGCAAGCGUUAUCCGGAAUUAUUGGGUGUAAAGGGUGCGUAGACGGGAAUUUAAGUUGGUUGUGAAAUCCCUCGGCUCAACUGAGGAACUGCAACCAAAACUGAAUUUCUUGAGUGCAGGAGAGGAAAGCGGAAUUCCUAGUGUAGCGGUGAAAUGCGUAGAUAUUAGGAGGAACACCAGUGGCGAAGGCGGCUUUCUGGACUGUAACUGACGUUGAGGCACGAAAGUGUGGGGAGCAAACAGGAUUAGAUACCCUGGUA
rnacentral:rRNA from 1 species